rnacentral:rRNA from 1 species
UACGGAGGGGGCGAGCGUUAUUCGGAAUUAUUGGGCGUAAAGAGCUCGUAGGCGGUUUGUUGCGUCGGCUGUGAAAUCCCGAGGCUCAACCUCGGGUCUGCAGUCGAUACGAGCAAACUAGAGUGUUGCAGGGGAGACUGGAAUUCCCGGUGUAGCGGUGAAAUGCGUAGAGAUCGGGAGGAACACCGGCGGCGAAGGCGGCUGCCUGGACCAGUCCUGACGCUGAGGCGCGAAAGCUAGGGGAGCAAACAGG